ACUCAAAUGAAUUGACGGGGGCCCGCACAAGCAGCGGAGCGUGUGGUUUAAUUCGACGCGACGCGAAGAACCUUACCAGGGCUUGACAUGCACGGUAAACCGGCGGAAACGUCGGGUGCCGCAAGGCGAUCGUGCACAGGUGCUGCAUGGCUGUCGUCAGCUCGUGCCGUGAGGUGUUGGGUUAAGUCCCGCAACGAGCGCAACCCCCGCGCCUAGUUAGAUCCUCUAGGCGGACUGCCGGGAUUAACCCGGAGGAAGGUGGGGAUGACGUCAAGUCAGCACGGCCCUUACGCCCUGGGCUACACACACGCUACAAUGGGCAGGACAACGGGUUGCCAAGCCGCAAGGCGGAGCUAAUCCCAUCAAACCUGCCCCCAGUUCAGAUCGGGGGCUGCAACUCGCCCCCGUGAAGGCGGAGUUGCUAGUAACCGCGGGUCAGCACACCGCGGUGAAUACGUUCCCGGGCCUUGUACACACCGCCCGU
rnacentral:rRNA from 1 species